rnacentral:rRNA from 1 species
GAUGAACGCUGGCGGCGUGCCUAAUACAUGCAAGUCGAGCGAACAGACGAGGAGCUUGCUCCUUUGACGUUAGCGGCGGACGGGUGAGUAAAACGUGGAUAACCUACCUAUAAGACUGGGAUAACUUCGGGAAACCGGAGCUAAUACCGGAUAACAUGUUGAACCGCAUGGUUCAACAGUGAAAGACGGUCUUGCUGUCACUUAUAGAUGGAUCCGCGCCGCAUUAGCUAGUUGGUAAGGUAACGGCUUACCAAGGCAACGAUGCGUAGCCGACCUGAGAGGGUGAUCUGCCACACUGGAACUGAGACACGGUCCAGACUCCUACGGGAGGCAGCAGUAGGGAAUCUUCCGCAAUGGGCGAAAGCCUGACGGAGCAACGCCGCGUGAGUGAAGAAGGUCUUCGGAUCGUAAAACUCUGUUAUUAGGGAAGAACAAAUGUGUAAGUAACUAUGCACGUCUUGACGGUACCUAAGCAGAAAGCCACGGCUAACUACGUG